rnacentral:rRNA from 1 species
CAUCCCAGUUCGGAUCGCAGGCUGCAACCCGCCUGCGUGAAGUUGGAAUCGCUAGUAAUCGCGGAUCAGCAUGCCGCGGUGAAUACGUUCCCGGGCCUUGUACACACCGCCCGUCACACCAUGAGAGUCGGGAACACCCGAAGUCCGUAGCCUAACUGCAAAGGGGGCGCGGCCGAAGGUGGGUUCGAUAAUUGGGGUGAAGUCGUAACAAGGUACC